GACAGGGGCGUGCUGUCAGCUCAUAUGAAAGCACGCCCCUGUCCCUGAUCUUAUGUGAUUGGGCACUGAACGCUGGGGCUGUAAUGUGAGCUGUCCUCGGCUGCUCUUCCCAGCCACCAUGUGUUGUGUACCAAGCAGUGCAGCAAGGGAACAGGCAGCCCUCCUCCUCAGCUCCAGACUCCGGACUUCGAGACAGCACAGCUGCCACUAGUAGACAGGUUUUUAGAAUAUGACGAGGUGUACAAGUUUGUUCCUCCAGAUGUGAAUAUUAUGUUACAGUCUGCCAGGAACAGAUGCUAUAGAGGCAACUGGAACUGAACUGUAGCUGGAAGUGGAAUGAAACUGGAACUGGACUGAGAAUGGUACUGGAGCCAGACUGGAACCAGAUGGUGACUGGACUAGAAGAUGAAUACUGACCGGUAUAACCCUCUGGGACCGGGCUAGAAUUGGUAUAGCAUUCUGGGACUGGGCUGGUACUGGUAUGGCUCUCUAAGACCAGGUUGGAACCAAUAUAGUAUUCUGGGACUGGGCUCGAACCGGUAAAAAACACUGGGUCUGGGCUGUAACUGAUAUAGCACUCUGGAACUGGGCUGGAACUGGGCUGGAACUGGUAUAGCACUCUGGGACUGGGCUGGAAUUGGUAAAGCUGCAAAGUACCUGGGAGCUUAGUACAGAGCUGUUCAAGAGAAGAGACGGUUGUACUGGCAAUUUGAGCCAGUCAGGACAUGGAACUUAAAGGGUUGAGCAAGAGGUGAUUGUAUGCUGUGGUCAGCUGGUGGAAAACCGCUUUAUUGUUGGGAGGCCAAGAAGUGCACAGAAAAAAUACUGUAUUAGAUGCAUAUGUUUUGGAAUUAGAAAAAUAUCAAUGUCUCAGCUAAGCUAAGAAUGUGCUGUGGUAUUAAAGAGGAAUGCUAAAUCACUGUGUAAGCCCUUAAGUUGGGGAUGUAAUCCUGGGUGUCAGAAUGCCGGCAGCAGGGCAAUUGCUAGAAAGCCCCUUGCGGGCUCGCUGCGCUAACCGUGCUCCGAGCUUGGUGGCUCGCUGCGCUCACCACAGGUUCUAUUUCCACUCUAUGGGUGUCAUGGAAAUAGAACCUUUGGGAAUACCCUGGCGCAGCUGUCGGCAUUCUCGGCGGUAGAUAUCCUGGCUUCGGUUUUCUGAAUGCCUGGAUCCCGACCACUCGGAUAUUUUCUGCAUCACUUAUGACAAUGUAUGUGUUCGUUUAUAUCAUUUCCUCCUAAACCAGUGGUUCCCGGACUAUGGGGGUUAUUCAGAGAUUGACGCAGCUCUUGCUUCUGCAGCAAGAUCUGCAUCCAUCUACUCACAUGCUGGGGGCCGUCCAGCACUGGGCUAGGCCGUCCAGCAUGUGUGACACUUCACCUUGCGAUGCAUUCACAAUUUAAUUGCAAACGCAUUGAUUAGAGGAUGACCCUGUCUGUGCAACCUGACUAUGCUGGCAGGCGGUCAGACGCUGGAAUCCCAACAUCCUUCAGAAUACUGAAGUCAAAAUCCCCCAAAAGUCAGGAAACUGACGCCGGUAACCCAACAGCUGGCAUCCCGACCAUGAGUAUAGCAGGAGGGUUAGGUUUAAGACCGGGGUGGGGAGAUUAGGUCAAGGCACCACCCCGGGAGGUUAGGGUUAGGCUACGGGUGGGGAGAGGUUAGGGUUAAGCUGUUGGGAAGGGGGGGGUUGGAAACCACCAUGGGGAGGAUAGG